rnacentral:misc_RNA from 1 species
UCCGAGUUGACCCCGGCAGUCUCCCACGAGUCCCCACCAUCACGUGCUGGCAACAUAGGAUAAGGGUUGCGCUCGUUGCGGGACUUAACCCAACAUCUCACGACACGAGCUGACGACAGCCAUGCACCACCUGCACACCGGCCACAAGGGAAACCCCAUCUCUGAGGCGAUCCGGCGCAUGUCAAGCCCAGGUAAGGUGGGGAUGACGUUUCCAGGUUAGG